UGGGAUUUGUUGGGUUUUCCCUGUAAUAUUGUAAUAUUGACCUCACUAUGUAAAGUGCCUUGAGACAAUGUAUUUUGUGAUAUGGCGCUAUACAAAUAAAAUUGAAUUGAAUUGAAUUGAAUUUCUAAAGUAGGCAGUGCCAGGUUUAAGCAGGCAAUCUUGGAACUCAGCCCAAGCCUGGAACUCAGUCACAAAAGCAUUGCCAAACUCAUGCUGCCAUCCUCCAUACUCCCCCUCUAUUGCUUGAAAGACUAUAAAAUCUGUUAAAACUUUCAUUGAGUCUGGUUGUCUGCAUUUUGGGUCCAAAUUCUAGGUCAGCCCUGAACACUUUUUUGAAAAACAGACAAACUGCGCCCCCCUGAACUGUCAGUCACGGCUUGACAACAUGAUGAACACUGUCUGCUGUCAUAAUGUGAUGCAAGUAACCAAUAUGUGCACCAUUCAAGACUGUCUAAGUCUGCCGAGUCGCAGCUGCAAAAUGAGUCGAAAAAGGAUCAAAUUAUUCUUAACAGUUCUCAAAAGUUAUUUGAAUUAUUUAUUAUGUGUAAUUAAUAGAUCAUUCAUAUUUUUUUUUAAUUGAAGGUGGUGAUUAGUGUUGGACAAAUAAUGGGGGGAGGUCAAUAAUCUCGCCAACAUUGCCAGCCACAAUAAUGUGGAAGAAAUGAUGAACAUCCUCCACAGAGCAUUUCAUUUCCCCAAACCAGAGGAGAUGGAGGAGGCCAAAUCUGAAUUGUUCCCCAUAAGCAGCCACAGAAGAGAAGUUAUAUAAAUAGAAAACUCUUCCCUUCACUGCUGCUACAAGGUGUGUGUGUGAUGCCAAUGCACAUUUCUUGAUGUAUAUAUUGGCAAUCCAGGUUUGGAGCAUGAUGCAAUGGUCCUCCGCAGAUCCCCCAUGUAUCAACAACACCACCAGAGGCCAGGAGUAUUAUCGAGUGCACCUUUGGCAUCCUCAAAACUUGGCCUCUGUGAUGAUUGGUGAUUGGUGCCUGCUGCAUCCUCCACAACAUGUGUGGCAGCAGGUGAUGACCUGCAGGAGGAGGAAGACGAUCUGGACCGAGCUGACAGUGAGUAUGACGCCACCAGCAUUGAAGCCAAUGAGAGGGACGUGCACACAUUUCUGCUACGGAGAGACUGCCUGCAUUUCUUUGUGAACAUGACUAUAUCUAGACAGUAACACUCUCCACAUAUACUCAUCUUCACUAGAAGUGUGUGUCUCUGAUGCUGUACUUUUGUAAUGUAUGCCUGUGUGUAUAUGCAUGUGCGUGUAAAUAUGUUCUAUAUGUUCAUUUGUUGCAAUGUUCUUUGUCUUGUUCUAACUUUGCAAAUAUAAUUAUAACACAGUUGCUUUCAAGAAUGAAUUGUCUGGACUGAAUUUCAUUACAAUAUUUAUUCAAAGCUUUUUUUUAAUGAGAAUUUAAAGCAGAGCCAGGUACCCCUCUGCUCUCUCAGUUGCUGUCCUUACCAUCUCCUCGCUUGCCACAGCCUCUCCCUUCAGCCUACUUCAAAAUGUAUGAAUAGCGAAUAUUACCGUUCGUUGACUCUUGUCCUGCCUGUCAUGAAGGGACUAAUUAUAUGUUAUUACGGGCCAGUAGAGGGCUCUAGUAGUAUACUCAAGGGAAUUACGUAUAGCCAGGUGCAGAGAGAGUGUAUAUGGCCGGAGGGAUGAGAGGCUUUACCCCCACGUUGGGCCUGUUAUGAUGUUCUACCAGCUCCCUGAAUAAAGUCACUAGAAGUGGAAAUGCCUGGAUGCUGAUCAUUGAUAUACGAAGAUAUCACACUACCGAUGCAGCCUCUGUCUCUCGGCUUGCCAACAGUAUCCUACCUACCUGAAAAUCCAACCUGGCAACUCCAGGCUCCCUAAGAGCUGUCAGUCAUAAUCCAGAGGCUCCGCCCCCAAAGUGUCAAAAAGUUUCUCCGCGAGCGUACAAAGCGCUCCACGAGCAACGAAGCUGCCUCUCGCGCGAGUGUAAAAUGUGCACCUCAAACGCAGAAAUAACCCUCGAGCAGCGGAUCUGCUUUUCCCGCGAGCGAGAACAGAUCAUCUUGAGCCUCAAGGGAUUUAAAUCUGCACGCGUGUGAAAUUACAUACAUCGCUCGUGAGUCAUUUUUUGUGCGCUGUAUUAAUGACCCAAUUCUAACUCCAUAGUUAGGCUUUAUAUAUGGCCUGACAAACUAAGACAAUGUAGUGUCUUUGAAUCUCAGGUUCUGUAUGUAACAGAACCUGAGUAACAGAACCCUCCCCCUGAUGUUCGUGCAUCAGGGGGAGGGGCUAUAUUUCCAUUUAGCUCUUUUCUGAUUCCUAUCCUUUUUACUAAUUGUGUAUUUGAUAAAUAAUUCAAUAGUUUUCUAAGUUUCAGGGUCAGUAUAACUAUACUGACAUGUUUCUUGUUUAUUGUUGUUAACUUGAAUAAUUGUAUUUAGGUUGACCACCUUGUGUGUCUAAAUGGCCUGAUAAACCAUUAUAUAUGUUCCCCUCAUGUCUCAGUUUGUCAGGUUAGUUAGCGCUACUCAAUUCUCUUUGUUGAUUCUUGAGUUUAGUUCUGUUAUGUUGACCUCAUUUAUGGGCCCAAUAUUUUUGUUUCCAGCCUUUUUGGCAUUUGUUUAUUAUUGCAAAGAAAAUGUAAAAAAAAUUUUUUUUUCAAGAAACCACCUGUGUCUCUGCCUUGACUGCUUGGUCCCUGACAGGCCUGUUUGGCUCUAAUUGGUAGGCCAGAAGUGAUAAAAUAAAGUCCCUCGCAAAAAGAAAAACACACUGUAUUAUUCAUUUUGGUACUCUACCCAAAUCUUAAUCCAAGCCCUUGUCAGACAUACAGACAAUGAUGAGCACUCAAAAUCAAUACUCAUUCCCAUCCACUUUUGCAAGAGUUUCUCCUUCUAGUAAAAAAGGCUUUCAUAGCCACUCGCCACUCAGUGAGAGCCUGGGUCUCCUCAGUUGUCCCUUGAGUAAGAUAAAAUUAGAUCCCCAUGGGGGGAAUUCAGGUAAUAACAUCAAUCCACAAAUAUAAUGGGUAAAGCUAAAAUAACAUAUAAAUUAGAAAAAUACAAUAUAAAAUUGGAUAAAAUUAACUAAAAUUUACACGACCAGCACAGUACUACCAAUAUUGCUUUAAUGUACUAUGAUAUCCAUUACAAUAUUGUGUGUAUUCCUUACAGAAUAAAGGCAAGUCAACCAUUUGACCAAAUGUACAAAGAAAAAUAAGAUUAUUGUAUUAUAAUACACAAUGCUACAAAUUGCGAGUACAACAAGGGUUAAAUAAAAAUCAAAAACUGAAUGUUAACAUUGGUUUGAGCCAAAAGGAUUUCCCUGGGAUAAUACAUUUAGGCUCUGAGACCAGCUAUUGACUGUAAGAUAGUCCCAAAACUGAAUCAUAGCUCAUGUUUAAUCAUGACAGCCAGUGGAACAUUCCUGGACUGGCAGAGAUAAGGCGUUCUGCCAAUAUAACGUUGUGUAACUCAACGCUCUGGGGCCUGUACUACAAAGCAAGUGCAAAAUAUCCAGGAUAUGUUUUUGUUGUCUGGAUUGACUUAACCAAACAUUGACCAUCCUGGAUAACCUGGGGUCUGUACUACGAGGUGAGUUGAACAUAUCCAGGAUUUGUUUUCGUUGUCUGGAUUGACUCAACCUAACAAACGCAAUCACGAUAAGCGGUCACACAACGGUGGUUAUAAACACGUUAGGUCAACCCAUAUUUGUUCAAUCAAAACACGAGCGCGUUCACAUAAAAGAGGCGGUGUUCACUGCCUUUUACCAAUCACUGCAUGGAUCAAGCGUCAAGCAGCAGAGCAGUUUAUUUCACGAACGAAGACAUGUUCAAGAAAUAUAAGCCUAUUAUUCAUGCCAAAAAUAAUACGGCGGCAGCAGCCAAAUGCAGGAGGGAGAGCUGGCAAAAAAUUGCCAAUUGUGUGAAUGCGUAAGUUAAUGUUUUAUUGUAAUAUACCUGCCCUAUCUUAAGGGCAAAGAUCGAUCAGAUUAAAAUCAAAUUUGUGUCUACAUUAAAUUAGCAUGUCAUUUAAAUGACAUCUCAUGGUGUAUAUGACAGUUCUUUCAGGUGUAACCCUUGUAGGGUGAAGCGCACAUGGGAUUAAAUAAAAAACAAGCACAAAAACAUCAUCCAGAGCGCCAACAAGAAAAGAAAAAAUGCCCUCAAGAAGACAGGAGGGGUCCCUCCUACACAGGAAUACACAAUAACUGAGGAGCUGGCCCUCAGCAAUAACGAGGAAUAAUGAAUGACAUAGUUCUCAUUGGGGAAAAUGAGUAACACGUAUUUACUGUCUCUACAGUUGAUGGGGACAUACUGCUGUUGCUACUCCCCCCAUCCGCAUCCACACUGUCCCACACAUAGGUAAGUGACCGCAACAAGUGUCAUACACUGGGAUUUCAUUGGUGUGGCUAAUGGGUAGAGAUCAUUGUCAUAUCUUACUCUGCCAGGUUGGGCCCCAUGAUGAGGAGACUGUCUCUGUAUGCUCAGAGAGACCUGUGGGGGUACAUUUUUGUACUUUAUCUAAAUGAUAUAUGACUAGUCCAUUUAAAACACACAGUGAGGGUGCAGACUGUAAGUGAGUAAUCACAACAGCUUGGUACUGGUGGUGGUGGGCACAUGGGACUCUUAAAUGCUUCAAUUGGUCCAUACACUCAAAUUUAACAAUUGCUCUGUUGUUACAUGAAGAGGACAGUCUUCCUCCCUCUGACCCUGUGGCCUCCACUUCUAGGCCAAGAAGAAGAUCACAAGUGAAUAACAUGAACCUUAAUCUUUUCAAUCGAGACUUGCAAAGGAAAAAUGCAUACAUGUGAAGAAACUGCAUUAUUUGUUUCAGGUUGGAGCAGACAAUGUGAGGUGUCUGUAUAAUUGGACCUUAGGAAUGGAUAUUGAAUACCGACAAUUCAAUAUCCAAUAUAUAAAACAUAAAAUUACAAAGGUGCAGUCGAGGUGGAAAAACUCUGGUAUGAAAAGUUGGUAAGUCAGUGCCAUUCUUUAUUACCAAGCAUGGGAAACAAUUAAAUUAAUUUCCUUUUUCACUUCACAGCAACAGGAGUAACUACCACCACAAUAAACCUGGAAA